GACGGUACUCCACGGGUAGGGGUAAAAUCCUCUGAACCGUGGAAGACCACCAGUGGCGAAGGCGGUCCACCAGAACGCGCUCGACGGUGAGGGAUGAAAGCUGGGGUAGCGAACCGGAUUAGAUACCCGGGUAGUCCCAGCUGUAAACGAUGCAAGCUAGGUGAUGCAUUAGCCACGUGUUAAUGCAGUGCCGCAGGGAAGCCGUUAAGCUUGCCGCCUGGGGAGUACGGUCGCAAGGCUGAAACUUAAAGGAAUUGGCGGGGGAGCACCACAAGGGGUGAAGCCUGCGGUUCAAUUGGAGUCAACGCCGGGAACCUUACCAGGAGAGACAGCAGAGUGAAGGUCAAGCUGAAGACUUUACCAGACAAGCUGAGAGGAGGCGCAUGGCCGUCGACAGCUCGUGCCGUGAGGCGUCCUGUUAAGUCAGGCAACGAGCGAGACCCUUGCCAUUAAUUGCUUCCAUUGAUCGAAAGGUUGGCGGAGCUAGUUAAUGGGACUGCCGUUGAUAAAACGGAGGAAGGAAGGGGCCACGGCAGGUCAGUAUGCCCCGAAACU
rnacentral:rRNA from 1 species